UGGACCAGUGAUGACAACCGGUGGCAGAUGAGUCAUGGACAAUGAACGCCAUGUGUCUGGAAGUCUGAGGUCCCA